rnacentral:rRNA from 1 species
UACGUAGGGUGCGAGCGUUGUCCGGAUUUAUUGGGCGUAAAGAGCUCGUAGGCGGUUUGUCGCGUCGGCCGUGGAAUCUCCACGCUUAACGUGGAGCGUGCGGUCGAUACGGGCAGACUUGAGUUCGGUAGGGGAGACUGGAAUUCCUGGUGUAGCGGUGAAAUGCGCAGAUAUCAGGAGGAACACCGGUGGCGAAGGCGGGUCUCUGGGCCGAUACUGACGCUGAGGAGCGAAAGCAUGGGGAGCGAACAGG